CUGCGUCUACCAAUAUUUCCAGACCUCGACCCGGGCCUCUCAGGUUGAUCAGGAGGAGUUCGUUCCCGACGACGGCGGCGGUUAGUCGGGCGGGAUCCAAGCUGAACAGUCUCACUACGAUCGGUAUGUAAACCUAAGCCUGGAAGCCUCGAGGGUAAUUCGUUGCUUUGAAGGGAUUGAGGAAUAUUCUCGUGAGUGAUCUGGGCACUAGAUGGGGUCGAGGAAUGGUGUGUGACGGAGCCAGUAGGAAUCGGAAUGCUCGUAGAAGGUACGGAUUCGAUGCUCGUAGAAAGGUUGGAGGGGCCGGAAGCGGCUGAGGCGGGAGUAUGUGAAGGAGAUUCGUCUGCCAGAUCGAUGUUUGCUACUUAGCCCUCUCAGCCUGGCUCUAUACAGAACCAGCUGAAUAGGCCUCUCUGGUCAAAGGAAGCGUAAAGCGCUGUGCAGCCAGAUUCGAAGCUCUGGAGCUGGCUAAACGCCGCGAGCUUUUCUGAACUUUGGAUUCGUGAUGAUGCUAGAUUCGCAGUGCCUGAUAAGCUGGUAUGCUUGAUUGGCUUGCCUUGGGAGGGUUGGGCAUGAGCUUCUUACGUCUGCAAAAAUGCAGUUGAUGUUGAGAAGAACGAUAAAUGAUCGGAGGAACCAGGAUGAGGUAAUAAUAGUUUGGGCGAACCAGAAAUUUGGGGAGGAACCCUGGGGCAGCAACAACACCUGAAUUGCAACCUUGAGAACGUUAUGGUAAGGGUGAGAUACGGUCGAUGGCUAGGAGGUUGACAAAACUGGGGCCAACUAGAAUAUUGCUUUGCUGUCGUCGUCGUCUUCGUGGGGCGUGGAAAGCGAGGAACCAAGACUGCAGAGUGACCAGCGGUUGCUAACUGGCUUGGUCAGUAUCAAACUGGAAUUCCAUCAAUCGUUAAUUUGACGGAACAACCUGGACAGAAGCGACUCAUAAGAACCAGAGAUGGAUUUUCUGCUGGAGAAUAGUCACAGUUACAGACUGGAGAAUCAAGAUCCAGAAACGCAGCAGAUGCAGCUGGAACAAUUAUUAAUAGUUGAGUGUGAGUUUUUUGCACAUGAUGAGCUGUAUUAUAACUGUACGGAGGGUGCUUAUACUUGUGUAUUGGCCAACUCAAUGGCAGUUUCAUCGAAGUGCUUGUACUGUACUGUACCAUACGCAGCACUCAGUCGAUCCUUAUCAG
rnacentral:sRNA from 1 species